rnacentral:misc_RNA from 1 species
GAUGAAGAACUUAGCGAAAUGCGAAAAGUAAUGUGAAUUGCAGAAUUCAGUGAAUCAUCGAAUCUUUGAACGCACAUUGCGCCCGCCAGUAUUCUGGCGGGCAUGCCUGUCUGAGCGUCAUUUCAACCCUCACGCCCCUAGGGCGUGGUGUUGGGGAUCGGCCAAGGCCCGCAAGGGACGGCCGGCCCCUAAAUCUAGUGGCGGACCCAUCGUGGCCUCCCCUGCGAAGUAGUAAUAUAUUCCGCAUCGGAUAGCGAUGAGCCCCUGCCGUUAAACCCCCAACUCUUUCAAGGUUGACCUCAGAUCAGGUAGGAAUACCCGCUGAACUUAAGCAUAUCAAUAAGCGGAGGA